rnacentral:rRNA from 1 species
UGGGGAAUAUUGCACAAUGGAGGGAACUCUGAUGCAGCGACGCCGCGUGAACGAAGAAGGCUUUCGAGUCGUAAAGUUCUUUUAUAUGGGAAGAUAAUGACGGUACCAUAAGAAAAAGCCCCGGCUAACUACGUGCCAGCAGCCUCGGGAAUACGUAGGGGGCUAGAGUUGUCCGGAAUCACUGGGCGUAAAGGGUUCGCAGGCGGAAAUGCAAGUCAGGUGUAAAAGGCAGUAGCUUAACUACUGUAAGCAUUUGAAACUGCAUAUCUUGAGAAGAGUAGAGGUAAGUGGAAUUUUUAGUGUAGCGGUGAAAUGCAUAGAUAUUAAAAAGAAUGCCGGUGGCGAAGGCGACUUACUGGGCUCAUUCUGACGCUGAGGAACGAAAGCGUGGGUAGCGAACAGG